rnacentral:rRNA from 1 species
AGCUCAAUGAUUUUUCUUAUUGAGUGAUUUCUGCCCAGUGAAAUUUAAAUGGCCGCGGUAUCUUGACCGUGCGAAGGUAGCAUAAUCAUUUGCUCUUUAAUUGGGGGCUAGAAUGAAAGAAAUAAUAAAGAAAUGGCUGUCUCUGUCGCUAGUUAUAAAUUGCUGGUCUUGUGAAGAAGCAAGAGUGCCUAAAAAAGACAAGAAGACCCUAUUAAGCUUUACUUUUAAGGCUAGUUUUUUAUCUUAAAAGAAUAAAAAACUAGCUUGUGUGAGUUUGGUUGGGGUGACUUAAAAGGAUUGAAUCCUUUAUAAAAAAAUAUUACUUUAAGUUAAAAAAAGAUCCAGAUUUUCUGACUAAUAGAAUAAGUUACUAUAGGGAUAACAGCGUAAUUUUUUCAAAGAGUUCUUAUUGACGAAAAAGAUUGCGACCUCGAUGUUGACUUGUUGUCUCCUUUUAAGGUGUAGCAGCUUUAAGGGUUAGUCUGUUCGACUAUAAAACAA